UAGGGAAUCUUCGGCAAUGGGGGGAACCCUGACCGAGCAACGCCGCGUGAGUGAAGAAGGUUUUCGGAUCGUAAAGCUCUGUUGUUAAGGAAGAACGAGUGUGAGAAUGGAAAGUUCAUACUGUGACGGUACUUAACCAGAAAGGGACGGCUAACUACGUGCCAGCAGCCGCGGUAAUACGUAGGUGGCAAGCGUUGUCCGGAUUUAUUGGGCGUAAAGCGAGCGCAGGCGGUCAAUUAAGUCUGAUGUGAAAGCCCCCGGCUCAACCGGGGAGGGUCAUUGGAAACUGGUUGACUUGAGUGCAGAAGAGGAGAGUGGAAUUCCAUGUGUAGCGGUGAAAUGCGUAGAUAUAUGGAGGAGCACCGGUGGCGAAAGCGGCUCUCUGGUCUGUAACUGACGCUGAGGCUCGAAAGCGUGGGGAGCGAACAGG
rnacentral:rRNA from 1 species